GCCCAUACCGAGAAGUAGCUUUUAGUUUUCCAGUGAAUACGCUCGACAAUUCAUUGCCAUAAAUCGCACAGCCGCCACACAAUCUGGUUCAAUCAAUACAUUUAUACGUUUUCGAUUGUUCAAGACAUUGAUCCUCGAGAUGUCGUUUCGUAUAACACACGAGUAUACGGAGAAGAGAUACAUAAAGUCAACCAAUCGUUUAGUUUUCAGUGCAAUACACAUAAACAAACGAUUUUCGGCUAUUUAUUUUUUACUCUCAUGUUUGAUGUAGUAAAUUGACAUAGUAACGCCGAUGCGAAUUCUUCGAAACAAAGACCCUAAUCGUUUGCAUUUAGUGCAUACUAUUGAUAAAAUAAUAAAAUUAUGUAAGUCAGAUGACCAAAUUCGGAAAAGAAGAACAAACGAUAUUCAAUGUACUCGCUUCGCACAAUGGAAAACUCUUAUAAUUUCCCCUGGUGUUCUUUUCCAUUCUUCAGUUUAUACACUUUAUGGUCAGCACCACGUGCAGUCGACCGACUAAAAUAUAAUAUUAUUCAAUAAGUGUUUCUCGGUAUAUGUCACCAUACCAUUUCCUAUUGACAUAUCUCGGUCAAUGAGACGUCCUUGUAGUCAGAUUCAAGAGCUCAUAAAAUUCAGCUUUAAUUAUGGGCUUCGGUCAUUUUUUUUUAAGUGGAUGUUAAAGACUACUUACUGAUUUUAGUAAGUGAUAUAUUUUUUUUUAAUUUCAUUAUCUUUUCGUCUG